rnacentral:tRNA from 1 species
GCGGACGUAGUUCAAAGGCAGAAUACCGCGGCGCCAACGCGGUGACACGAGUUCGACUCUCGUCGUCCGCACCA